rnacentral:rRNA from 1 species
ACGAGUGGCGGACGGGUGAGUAAUGUCUGGGAAACUGCCUGAUGGAGGGGGAUAACUACUGGAAACGGUAGCUAAUACCGCAUAACGUCGCAAGACCAAAGAGGGGGACCUUAGGGCCUCUUGCCAUCGGAUGUGCCCAGAUGGGAUUAGCUAGUAGGUGGGGUAACGGCUCACCUAGGCGACGAUCCCUAGCUGGUCUGAGAGGAUGACCAGCCACACUGGAACUGAGACACGGUCCAGACUCCUACGGGAGGCAGCAGUGGGGAAUAUUGCACAAUGGGCGCAAGCCUGAUGCAGCCAUGCCGCGUGUAUGAAGAAGGCCUUCGGGUUGUAAAGU